rnacentral:rRNA from 1 species
CGAACGGGUGAGUAAUAUAUCGGAACAUACCCAGUAGUGGGGGAUAACUAUCCGAAAGGAUAGCUAAUACCGCAUACGAUCUGUGGAUGAAAGCAGGGGAUCUUCGGACCUUGUGCUAUUGGAAUGGCCGAUAUCUGAUUAGCUAGUUGGUAGGGUAAAAGCCUACCAAGGCGACGAUCAGUAGCUGGUCUGAGAGGACGACCAGCCACACUGGAACUGAGACACGGUCCAGACUCCUACGGGAGGCAGCAGUGGGGAAUUUUGGACAAUGGGGGCAACCCUGAUCCAGCAAUGCCGCGUGAGUGAAGAAGGCCCUCGGGUUGUAAAGCUCUUUUGUCAGGGAAGAAACGGAGUUCUCUAAUAUAGGAUUCUAAUGACGGUACCUGAAGAAUAAGCACCGGCUAACUACGUGCCAGCAGCCGCGGUAAUACGUAGGGUGCAAGCGUUAAUCGGAAUUACUGGGCGUAAAGCGUGCGCAGGCGGUUUUGUAAGUCUGAUGUGAAUCCCCGGGCUCAACCUGGGAACUGCAUUGGAGACUGCAAGGCUAGAGUGUGUCAGAGGGGGGUAGAAUUCCACGUGUAGCAGUGAAAUGCGUAGAGAUGUGGAGGAAUACCGAUGGCGAAGGCA